rnacentral:rRNA from 1 species
CAGUCGCCGCGGUAAUACGAAGGGUGCAAGCGUUAAUCGGAAUUACUGGGCGUAAAGCGUGCGUAGGCGGUGAGUUAAGUCUGCUGUGAAAUCCCCGGGCUCAACCUGGGAAUGGCAGUGGAUACUGGCUCGCUAGAGUGUGUCAGAGGAUGGUGGAAUUCCCGGUGUAGCGGUGAAAUGCGUAGAGAUCGGGAGGAACAUCAGUGGCGAAGGCGGCCAUCUGGGACAACACUGACGCUGAGGCACGAAAGCGUGGGGAGCAAACAGGAUUAGAGACCCCCGUAGUCCCUGUCUCUUAUAC